GACGAACUGCCCAAACGUUGUUCGGAAUCACUGGGCUUAAAGGGCGCGUAGGCGGCAGAUCAAGUCAGGGGUGAAAUCCGGCAGCUCAACUGUCGAAGUGCCUUUGAUACUGAUUUGCUCGAGGGAGAUAGGGGUCUGUGGAACUUCUGGUGGAGCGGUGAAAUGCGUUGAUAUCAGAAGGAACGCCGGUGGCGAAAGCGACUUCCUGGACCAGUACCGACGUUCAGGCACGAAAGCGUGGGGAGCAAACAGG
rnacentral:rRNA from 1 species